ACGCACGCUGGCGGCGUGCUUAACACCUGCCAGUCGAACGGAAAGGCCCUGCUUUUGUGGGGUGCUCGAGUGGCGAACGGGUGAGUAACACGUGAGUAACCUGCCCUUGACUUUGGGAUAACUUCAGGAAACUGGGGCUAAUACCGGAUAGGAGCUCCUGCUGCAUGGUGGGGGUUGGAAAGUUUCGGCGGUUGGGGAUGGACUCGCGGCUUAUCAGCUUGUUGGUGGGGUAGUGGCUUACCAAGGCUUUGACGGGUAACCGGCCUGAGAGGGUGACCGGCCACAUUGGGACUGAGAUACGGCCCAGACUCCUACGGGAGGCAGCAGUGGGGAAUAUUGCACAAUGGGCGGAAGCCUGAUGCAGCAACGCCGCGUGCGGGAUGACGGCCUUCGGGUUGUAAACCGCUUUCGCCUGUGACGAAGCGUGAGUGACGGUAAUGGGUAAAGAAGCACCGGCUAACUACGUG
rnacentral:rRNA from 1 species